rnacentral:rRNA from 1 species
UACGGGGGGGGCAAGCGUUGUUCGGAAUUACUGGGCGUAAAGGGUUUGUAGGUGGCCCGCUAAGUCACACGUGAAAUCCCUCAGCUUAACUGGGGAACUGCGUGUGAGACUGGCAGGCUUGAGUGCAGGAGAGGAAAGCGGAAUUCCUGGUGUAGCGGUGAAAUGCGCAGAUAUCGGGAAGAACACCCGUGGCGAAGGCGGUUCUCUGGGACGGUACUGACGCUGAGGCGCGAAGGCCAGGGAGCGAAACGGG